rnacentral:rRNA from 1 species
UCAUAAUUGAGUGUUUUAUGGCACUCUUUAAUAAAUCCAUAUCCACCUUGUGUGCAAUGUUUUUGAACUCUCUGGCGUUGAUAUCUCUCUCUUGAGGGAUAGAGAAGCCAAGAGUUUGAUUAACUUAACUCCUUUAAUGCAAUUUGUCUGAAUAUCUAUUUCUGAAUAAACAUAAUUCAAAAUACAACUUUCAACAACGGAUCUCUUGGCUCUCGCAUCGAUGAAGAACGCAGCGAAAUGCGAUACGUAAUGUGAAUUGCAGAAUUCAGUGAAUCAUCGAAUCUUUGAACGCACAUUGCGCUCUCUGGUAUUCCGGAGAGCAUGCUUGUUUGAGUAUCAGUAAACACCUCAAUUUCACAAUCUUUUUUUUGAAAUUGGACUUGAGCAAAUCCCAACGUAUAUUUUAUUAUAUGGAGGGUUGCUUCAAAUGCAGGUGCAGCCGAUCAUUCUUCUGGGCUAAAAGCAUUAUCUAGUUAAUCCCGUAAAACGGAUUAUUCACUUUAUUUGCUGCGGCUUACCUUAUAAAAGGAAGAAAUGGUCAUUGUGCUGACUGAUGCAGGAUUUCUCAGAGCUCUGUAAAACGAUCUUUGAAAACUCGAUCUCAAAUCAAGUAA